GUGGUUUGUAAAGACUGCUGGAGGUAUCGGAAGUGCGAAUGCUGACAUGAGUAGCGAUAAAAGGGAGUGAAAGACUCCCUCGCCGAAAACCCAAGGUUUCCUGUGCAACGUUAAUCGGCGCAGGGUGAGUCGGCCCCUAAGGUGAGGCAGAAAUGCGUAACUGAUGGGAAACUGGUUAAAAUUCCAGUACCUUUGUUCAAUGCGAUGUGGGGACGAAGAAGGUUAGCUCAGCCGGGUGUUGGAUGUCCCGGUUCAAGCGUGUAGAUAUGCUGUUUAGGUAAAUCCGAAUGGCUUAGUUGAGACGUGAUAACGCAACACUCUUCGGAGUGCCAAGUGAGUGAUACCAUGCUUCCAGGAAAAGCCACUAAGCUUCAGUUGAAUAGAGACCGUACCGUAAACCAACACAGGUGGUAGGAUGAGAAUUCUAAGGCGCUUGAGAGAACUCAGGAGAAGGAACUCGGCAAAAUAGCACCGUAACUUACGGGAAAAGGUAGUGCCCUUUGUAUGUGUAGCGCCUUGCGCGUGAAGCAGAA
rnacentral:rRNA from 1 species